CCUACGGGAGGCAGCAGUGAGGAAUAUUGGUCAAUGGGCGUGAGCCUGAACCAGCCAAGUCGCGUGAGGGAUGAAGGUUCUAUGGAUCGUAAACCUCUUUUAUAAGGGAAUAAAGUGUGGGACGUGUCCUGUUUUGUAUGUACCUGAUGAAUAAGGAUCGGCUAACUCCGUGCCAGCAGCCGCGGUAAUACGGAGGAUCCGAGCGUUAUCCGGAUUUAUUGGGUUUAAAGGGUGCGUAGGCGGCCUUUUAAGUCAGCGGUGAAAGUCUGUGGCUCAACCAUAGAAUUGCCGUUGAAACUGGGAGGCUUGAGUAUGUUUGAGGCAGGCGGAAUGCGUGGUGUAGCGGUGAAAUGCAUAGAUAUCACGCAGAACCCCGAUUGCGAAGGCAGCCUGCCAGGCCAUGACUGACGCUGAUGCACGAAAGCGUGGGGAUCAAACAGGAUUAGAUACCCUUGUAGUC
rnacentral:rRNA from 1 species